rnacentral:rRNA from 1 species
CCUACGGGAGGCAGCAGUGGGGAAUUUUGGACAAUGGGCGCAAGCCUGAUCCAGCCAUGCCGCGUGAGUGAAGAAGGCCUUCGGGUUGUAAAGCUCUUUCGGCGGGGAAGAAAUCGCAUCUCCUAAUACGGGGUGUGGAUGACGGUACCCGAAUAAGAAGCACCGGCUAACUACGUGCCAGCAGCCGCGGUAAU